rnacentral:rRNA from 1 species
UACGGGGGGGGGCAAGCGUUGUUCGGAAUUACUGGGCGUAAAGGGCUCGUAGGCGGCCAACUAAGUCAGACGUGAAAUCCCUCGGCUCAACUGAGGAGCGUCGAUCGAAACUGCCGUUCUUGAGGGUUGCAGAGGAGACUGGAAUUCCCGGUGUAGCGGUGAAAUGUGUAGAGAUCGGGAGGAACACCGGUGGCGAAGGCGGGUCUCUGGGCAACUCCUGACGCUGAGGCGCGAAAGCGUGGGGAGCAAACGGG